AUUGAACGCUGGCGGCAGGCCUAACACAUGCAAGUCGAGCGGAUGAAGGGAGCUUGCUCCUGGAUUCAGCGGAGGACGGGUGAGUAAUGCCUAGGAAUCUGCCUGGUAGUGGGGGAUAACGUCCGGAAACGGGCGCUAAUACCGCAUACGUCCUGAGGGAGAAAGUGGGGGAUCUUCGGACCUCACGCUAUCAGAUGAGCCUAGGUCGGAUUAGCUAGUUGGUGGGGUAAAGGCCUACCAAGGCGACGAUCCGUAACUGGUCUGAGAGGAUGAUCAGUCACACUGGAACUGAGACACUGUCCAGACUCCUACGGGAGGCAGCAGUGGGGAAUAUUGGACAAUGGGCGAAAGCCUGAUCCAGCCAUGCCGCGUGUGUGAAGAAGGUCUUCGGAUUGUAAAACACUUUAAGUUGGGAGGAAGGGCAGUAAGUUAAUACCUUGCUGUUUUGACGUUACCAACAGAAUAAGCACCGGCUAACUUCGUG
rnacentral:rRNA from 1 species